rnacentral:rRNA from 1 species
UACGUAGGGUGCGAGCGUUGUCCGGAAUUAUUGGGCGUAAAGAGCUCGUAGGCGGCCUGUCGCGUCUGCUGUGAAAACUCGGGGCUUAACCCCGGGCCUGCAGUGGGUACGGGCAGACUAGAGUGCGGUAGGGGAGACUGGAAUUCCUGGUGUAGCGGUGAAAUGCGCAGAUAUCAGGAGGAACACCGGUGGCGAAGGCGGGUCUCUGGGCCGUAACUGACGCUGAGGAGCGAAAGCGUGGGGAGCGAACAGG